GGGGGGAAGGAAGGGAGCAGCUCGUGCGUGCAGCAGCCCGACGGAAGCUAGCCGAGCUCGCGCCCGCAUGCCCGUUGCCGGAGCUUGCCGUCGCCGCCGCCGCCGCGCGUCUGCCCCCGCGCCGCCCGUGUGCCUUGCCGCUCGCCCUACCCGCUCGCAUCUCCAUCUUCAUCUUAUCCUUCUUCGAAAGCCCAACAAACCAGCGAACCAGAAAAACUUCGUCUGAAGUCACUGCCGCUCGUUGCCGUCGCCGGAGUUGUCGCCCGUCCGCGCUCGCUCGCCUGCACGACCGCCCAGCUAGCCAAUUUCCGCCUCUGCUCAGCCGCUACUCGCGUGACAAGGACCCUCCAGCGUUGUCGUCCGACCGUCCAGCCGCCCGUUCGUCGUCGCUAAGGCCGCCGGAGGCCCCGCCUAGCCGCCGUGAGCCACUACCCGAGCUACCACCUCCUUCCUCCGUCGUUCCUCCGCCCGAUUAAGCUCGGAUCUGCCCUCCUUCGGCCCUAAGCAGCAGCCAAGAAAAUGGGUAUGGCAGCCCAUGUUUGGCCCGUUUUGGCCGGCUUCCCGAGCCCGGAUGCUCGGCCCGCUUUGAGGAAAGUUGUUCUCCUCGGCGUCCCCGUCGUUUUGGUCCGCUCGGCACGCUAAUCCGGUCCCUGGUGGACGGAGCGGCCAUAUAGCUUUGGUUGGCCUUAAGGAGUUGGAGAGGUGAAGUUAUAAGGAUUGGAGAUCGUGUACGACUUGUAGGUCGUAGGAUAACCUCUUUUUAAGAGCCAGUCUUUUGUAGACUAUUGGCCGUAAACCCCUGUUUGUAAUUCUGUUGAAUUAUGUUUAAGUGUUAUGUUGUGA